UUGUUCCUUUCCUUUCCUGUUUGCUCUGUUUUUCGGGCUGGGAAAAAAAAUUGAAGAAGGAACAGAGGACAACAGAGGGAGAAAGAGAGCAUACGAGAGCAAGCUAGAGGAAGAUGGAUUCAGAGGGGGCCUCUAGGGGGAAGAAACGAGCAUAGAGCUCGUAAUAGAGCUGAGCCCAGGGAGGAGGAAGGAAUAAUCGAGUGGAUAAUUGGGGCAGGGCAGCAGAUUGAGAGUUGAGUGAGUAGGGGGAAAUGGGGGAGCACUAAGAGGAAGAGUUUAAGCUUAUAAUUGGGGGCUGAGGACACCAAUAUUAUGCAUCCUGAAAGUCAAGUUUGAUGAAUCAUUUUGGGUGUUUGAUAAGCUUCCGAUGGCUCGGAUAAAUCACUUUUUGAUAUCGGGGAUCAGCUUGGAGGACUAGGUAGGAACCUUAGCCAUUUGAUAGAUAUCCUUUUUGUACAGAAUAAUGGACUUGAGAAUGUUACGACCUGAAACUUUUGUCUAGCUGGUUUAGCAAUGUAGCUUUGCAAAAAUCGUACUUAUAUAAAUAUAUAUGUGAGAGCAGUUGUAGUAGUUAUAUGCUUUUGAGAGUUAUGGAAAGCAGAUUUUAUAUGAACAGUUAUGAUGGAUUGGUUGUAUACUUUGGAAAUUUAUGAGAAGUAAAUUUUUAUGUGAAAA